CCGCACGCGCGCUACACUGAUACGUUCAUCGAGCUUAUUACCUGGACUGAGAGGUCUGGGCAAUCUUUUCAAUGCGUAUCGUGCUGGGGAUAGAUUAUUGUAAUUAUUAAUCUUCAACGAGGAAUUCCUAGUAAACGCGAGUCAUCAGCUCGCAUUGAUUACGU
rnacentral:rRNA from 1 species